GACGAACGCUGGCGGCGUGCUUAACACAUGCAAGUCGAACGGAAAGACCCUGCUUUUGUGCGGUUCUCGAUUGGCGAACACGUGAGUAACACACGUGUAACCUGCACUUGUCUUUGUGAUAACUUUACGAAACACCGGCUAAUACCCCAUAGGAUCUCCUGCUGCGUGUUGUGGGUUGGAAAAUUUCGGCGGUUUUGGCUGGUCUCGCGGCUUACCAGCUUGUUGGUCGAGUAGUUGCUUACCAAGGCUUUGACGGAUAGCCGGCCUGAGAGGGGUAACGGGGACAAUGGGACUGAGAGAGGGAGCAGAAUCGAACCGGAGGCAGUAGUGGGAAACUUUGCGGAGUGGGGGGAAGGCUGAUGCAAAGACGCCGGGUGCGGGAUGACGGGUUACGGGUUGUAAACCACUUUGGACUGUGACGAAGAGUGAGUGACGGUAAUGGGUAAAGAAGCACCGGCUAACUACGUG
rnacentral:rRNA from 1 species